rnacentral:rRNA from 1 species
GACGGAGGAUGCAAGUGUUAUCCGGAAUCACUGGGCGUAAAGCGUCUGUAGGUGGUUUAAAAAGUCUACUGUUAAAGCUUGAAGCUUAACUUCAAAAAUGCCGUAGAAACUUUUAAACUUGAGUAUGGUAGGGGUAGAGGGAAUUUCCAGUGGAGCGGUGAAAUGCGUAGAUCUUGGAAAGACCACCAAUGGCGAGGCACUCUACUGGGCCAUUACUGACACUAAGAGACGAAAGCUAGGGGAGCAAAUGGG